rnacentral:rRNA from 1 species
UACGUAGGGGGCGAGCGUUGUCCGGAUUUAUUGGGCGUAAAGAGCUCGUAGGCGGCUUAGUAAGUCGGGUGUGAAACCUCCAGGCUCAACCUGGAGACGCCACCCGAUACUGCUGUGGCUAGAGUCCGGUAGGGGAGCGUGGAAUUCCUGGUGUAGCGGUGAAGUGCGCAGAUAUCAGGAGGAACACCAGCGGCGAAGGCGGCGCUCUGGGCCGGUACUGACGCUGAGGAGCGAAAGCGUGGGGAGCAAACAGG